UUUCUCGUAGCUUAGUGGACAGAGUAUUGGUGCGUAAAGCCAAAGAUCCCAGGUUCGAUUCCCGGCGAGGGUC
rfam:Agrilus planipennis Contig53680, whole genome shotgun sequence.